rnacentral:rRNA from 1 species
UACGUAGGGUUCAAGCGCUAUCCGGAAUCACUGGGCGUAAAGCGUGCGUAGGCGGGUAUUUAAGUGCAACGCGAAAUCCAACGGCUCAACCGUUGGACUGUGUUGCAUACUGGAUACCUAGAGGACGGCAGAGGCAAGUGGAAUUACAGGUGUAGGGGUGAAAUCCGUAGAUAUCUGUAGGAACACCAAUGGCGAAGGCAGCUUGCUGGGCCGACCCUGACGCUAAGGCACGAAAGCUAGGGGAGCAAACAGG